AUGACCAUACGAAAACUAAUAAAUAUCCCGUGGCACUGCUUCAUUUUCCAUCUAUCCAGCUUGUUGUUGCAGGUCAUCACCACGAGAAGCAUCAAUCCAGUAGCCAGCUUUGUGCAUGUACCAGGGAGCAAAUCAAUCUUUUUCUCACAUAUAUGUCUCUCCCCGUACAAGUUUUCAGCACCUCACAUAGUAACAAUUUCAAGACAUUCUCCCACAUUGUCUCUUCAGCAGCAGCAAACUUGGCCAAGCAACUGCACAAAAGGCAGUAUACACAUGCCCGGAGGAGCAACACACAGAAAUUCAUCUCAACCUCUCUCACUUUCUCUCUUAUUCUCUAGGGGCGUGUUUGGUUGCCUGCAUAUGGCCCCGCCUGGCCCGCACGGAAAGAACUUGGCCCGUUUGAUUGCCUACGUUUACUGUGCGGCCUGCAUUACACGGAACUUAAAGCACGUCCAGGCCAGGCCCAGGGGAAACGCCCGAAUCGGCGGUAGCUCGCGAGCCUGGCUCGGGCGACGCGCUUCUCUCCCCGUGCGACCAGGGAGAUGGCGCGAGCUUGCCCGCGUCGCCGAAAAAUCGGCGGGAGGAUUUCGGCUCACCUCCCGCCGAGUCCACCCUAGCCCCCUCCCUCACCGCCCCAACUCCCGCCACCAUUAUCCCUCUGUUCGAGCUUUCCCGCCGACGCGCAUCGGCACCGACGAGCAGGUAAGCGGCGCAUCUUCAUCGGCCAGCGGUCCACGGCGUCGACGCUUCUUCACCGGUCGGCGUUGA
rnacentral:rRNA from 1 species